GACGAACGCUGGCGGCGUGCCUAAUACAUGCAAGUCGAACGCAGUGGGGACGGGAGAGUAACACGUGGGUAACCGCCCAUCAGAGGGGAUAACACUUGGAAACAGGUGCUAAACCGAUACUGAUGGAUGAGCCCGCGGUGCAUUAGCUAGUUGGUGAGGUAACGGUGCCCCAAGGCCACGAUGCAUAGCCGCCCUGAGAGGGUGAUAUGCCACCCUGGGACUUAGCCCCGGCCCAGACUCCUCCGGGAGGCAGCCGUAGGGAAUCUUCGGCAAUGGACGAAAGUCUGACCGAGCAACGCCGCGUGAGUGAAGAAGGUUUUCGGAUCUUAAAACUCUGUUGUUAGAGAAGCGGUAUCUAACCAGAAAGCCACGGCUAACUACGUGCCAGCAGCCGCGGUAAUAC
rnacentral:rRNA from 1 species